UCGUAAUUUAUAAUGAACUCAUCCAAUCAAUUAUGUCAUCAAUACUAAAAUUUUUGUCUGAUAGUUGUAUUGCCCUGAUACUUGCAUAUUCUGAUCUUCCUAUAUUAUCCAAUAUCAUCACCAGUCACCAUAUUAUCAGCAAAUUGUCCAGAAUAUGUGUUGACAUGGUUGUUUGAAGUACUGUAGAUGUCAGUCAUGCAUCACUAUGAUUUUGAAUUGCACUUUUAUCUGCAAAUGAAAUAUUGUAAAAGAUGCACAUGAUGCAGGUAUAUAAUUUAAACAACAUGUAACUCUAGCUAUAAAGUAUGAACAUAUGCUACUAAGUUGACACUGAGCACUGUUAUUAAAUGCUGAAAAUGGAAAAGAAAGGUUGAAACUUGUCGGUAUGACCUCAGCACAUAUACCGUCAUAACUGCAAGGGUUAGUGUUGUAUGGUGAUUGCACUGAUCUUCAG
rnacentral:lncRNA from 1 species